CUACGGAAGGUCCGGGCGUUAUCCGGAUUUAUUGGGUUUAAAGGGAGCGCAGGCGGAGAUGCAAGCGUGACGUCAAAUUUUGGGGCUCAACCCCGUCUCGCGUCGCGAACUGCGUCCCUUGGUUGCGGGAAGGGGAGGCGGAACUCGUGGUGUAGCGGUGAAAUGCAUAGAUAUCACGAAGAACUCCGAUCGCGAAGGCAGCCUUCCGGCCCGUCAACGACGCUCAUGCUCGAAGGUGCGGGUAUCAAACAGGAUUAGAUACCCUGGUAGUCCGCACAGUAAACGAUGGACACCCGCGGUUUGGCCUAUAUGGCUGAGCCGCCAAGCGAAAGCGUUAAGUGUCCCACCUGGGGAGUACGCCAGCAACGGUGAAACUCAAAUGAAUUGACGGGG
rnacentral:rRNA from 1 species